GACGAACGCUGGCGGCGUGCUUAACACAUGCAAGUCGAACGAAGUGGCGAACGGGUGAGUAACGCGUCAUCAACCUGCCCUUCAGAGGGGGACAACAGUUGGAAACGACUGCUAAUACCGCAUACUGAAGGAGGUGAUUGCGUCUGAUUAGCUAGUUGGGGGGGUAACGGCCCACCAAGGCGAUGAUCAGUAGCCGGGCUGGUGGUAUGAACGGGCAAAUUGGGAAUGAGGCACGGGCCAGACUCCUACGGGAGGCAGCAGUGGGGAAUCUUCCGCAAUGGACGAAAGUCUGACGGAGCAAAGCCGGGUGAGUGAUGACGGCCUUCGGGUUGUAAAGCUCUGUUAAUCGGGACGCGGUACCGGAAUAGAAAGCCACGGCUAACUACGUGCCAGCAGCCGCGGUAAUAC
rnacentral:rRNA from 1 species